rnacentral:rRNA from 1 species
AACGAACGCUGGCGGCAUGCCUAACACAUGCAAGUCGAACGAAGCCUUCGGGCUUAGUGGCGCACGGGUGCGUAACGCGUGGGAAUCUGCCCUUGGGUUCGGAAUAACAGUUAGAAAUGACUGCUAAUACCGGAUGAUGUCUUCGGACCAAAGAUUUAUCGCCCAGGGAUGAGCCCGCGUAGGAUUAGGUAGUUGGUAGGGUAAAAGCCUACCAAGCCGACGAUCCUUAGCUGGUCUGAGAGGAUGAUCAGCCACACUGGGACUGAGACACGGCCCAGACUCCUACGGGAGGCAGCAGUGGGGAAUAUUGGACAAUGGGCGAAAGCCUGAUCCAGCAAUGCCGCGUGAGUGAUGAAGGCCUUAGGGUCGUAAAGCUCUUUUACCCGGGAUGAU